rnacentral:rRNA from 1 species
CCGGCGAUGUCCGAAUGGGGAAACCCAGUGCAAUUCGUUGCACUAUCGUUAACUGAAUACAUAGGUUAACGAGGCGAACCGGGGGAACUGAAACAUCUAAGUACCCCGAGGAAAAGAAAUCAACCGAGAUUCCCCCAGUAGCGGCGAGCGAACGGGGAGCAGCCCAGAGUCUGAAUCAGCUUGUGUGUUAGUGGAACGGUCUGGAAAGUCCGACGGUACAGGGUGAUAGUCCCGUACACCAAAAUGCACAGGUUGUGAACUCGAAGAGUAGGGCGGGACACGUGGUAUCCUGUCUGAAUAUGGGGGGACCAUCCUCCAAGGCUAAAUACUCCUGACUGACCGAUAGUGAACCAGUACCGUGAGGGAAAGGCGAAAAGAACCCCGGCGAGGGGAGUGAAAAAGAACCUGAAACCGUGUACGUACAAGCAGUGGGAGCACCUUCGGGUGUGACUGCGUACCUUUUGUAUAAUGGGUCAGCGACUUAUAUUCUGUAGCAAGGUUAACCGUAUAGGGGAGCCGCAGGGAAACCGAGUCUUAACUGGGCGUUAAGUUGCAGGGUAUAGACCCGAAACCCGGUGAUCUAGCCAUGGGCAGGUUGAAGGUUGGGUAACACUAACUGGAGGACCGAACCGACUAAUGUUGAAAAAUUAGCGGAUGACUUGUGGCUGGGGGUGAAAGGCCAAUCAAACCGGGAGAUAGCUGGUUCUCCCCGAAAGCUAUUUAGGUAGCGCCUCGUGAAUUCAUCUUCGGGGGUAGAGCACUGUUUCGGCUAGGGGGUCAUCCCGACUUACCAACCCGAUGCAAACUACGAAUACCGAAGAAUGUUAUCACGGGAGACACACGGCGGGUGCUAACGUCCGUCGUGAAGAGGGAAACAACCCAGACCGCCAGCUAAGGUCCCAAAGUCAUGGUUAAGUGGGAAACGAUGUGGGAAGGCACAGACAGCCAGGAUGUUGGCUUAGAAGCAGCCAUCAUUUAAAGAAAGCGUAAUAGCUCACUGGUCGAGUCGGCCUGCGCGGAAGAUGUAACGGGGCUAAACCAUGCACCGAAGCUGCGGCAGCGACACUAUGUGUUGUUGGGUAGGGGAGCGUUCUGUAAGCCUGCGAAGGUGACCUGUGAGGGUUGCUGGAGGUAUCAGAAGUGCGAAUGCUGACAUAAGUAACGAUAAAGCGGGUGAAAAGCCCGCUCGCCGGAAGACCAAGGGUUCCUGUCCAACGUUAAUCGGGGCAGGGUGAGUCGACCCCUAAGGCGAGGCCGAAAGGCGUAGUCGAUGGGAAACAGGUUAAUAUUCCUGUACUUGGUGUUACUGCGAAGGGGGGACGGAGAAGGCUAUGUUAGCCGGGCGACGGUUGUCCCGGUUUAAGCAUGUAGGCUGGUUAUCCAGGCAAAUCCGGAUAAUCAAGGCUGAGGUGUGAUGACGAGGCACUACGGUGCUGAAGUAACAAAUGCCCUGCUUCCAGGAAAAGCCUCUAAGCAUCAGGUAACAUCAAAUCGUACCCCAAACCGACACAGGUGGUCAGGUAGAGAAUACCAAGGCGCUUGAGAGAACUCGGGUGAAGGAACUAGGCAAAAUGGUGCCGUAACUUCGGGAGAAGGCACGCUGGUGUGUAGGUGAAGUCCCUGCGGAUGGAGCUGAGACCAGUCGAAGAUACCAGCUGGCUGCAACUGUUUAUUAAAAACACAGCACUGUGCAAACACGAAAGUGGACGUAUACGGUGUGACGCCUGCCCGGUGCCGGAAGGUUAAUUGAUGGGGUUAUCCGUAAGGAGAAGCUCUUGAUCGAAGCCCCGGUAAACGGCGGCCGUAACUAUAACGGUCCUAAGGUAGCGAAAUUCCUUGUCGGGUAAGUUCCGACCUGCACGAAUGGCGUAAUGAUGGCCAGGCUGUCUCCACCCGAGACUCAGUGAAAUUGAACUCGCUGUGAAGAUGCAGUGUACCCGCGGCAAGACGGAAAGACCCCGUGAACCUUUACUAUAGCUUGACACUGAACAUUGAGCCUUGAUGUGUAGGAUAGGUGGGAGGCUUUGAAGCGUGGACGCCAGUCUGCGUGGAGCCAACCUUGAAAUACCACCCUUUAAUGUUUGAUGUUCUAACGUUGGCCCCUUACCGGGGUUGCGGACAGUGUCUGGUGGGUAGUUUGACUGGGGCGGUCUCCUCCCAAAGCGUAACGGAGGAGCACGAAGGUUAGCUAAUCCUGGUCGGACAUCAGGAGGUUAGUGCAAUGGCAUAAGCUAGCUUGACUGCGAGCGUGACGGCGCGAGCAGGUGCGAAAGCAGGUCAUAGUGAUCCGGUGGUUCUGAAUGGAAGGGCCAUCGCUCAACGGAUAAAAGGUACUCCGGGGAUAACAGGCUGAUACCGCCCAAGAGUUCAUAUCGACGGCGGUGUUUGGCACCUCGAUGUCGGCUCAUCACAUCCUGGGGCUGAAGUAGGUCCCAAGGGUAUGGCUGUUCGCCAUUUAAAGUGGUACGCGAGCUGGGUUUAGAACGUCGUGAGACAGUUCGGUCCCUAUCUGCCGUGGGCGCUGGAGAAUUGAGGGGGGCUGCUCCUAGUACGAGAGGACCGGAGUGGACGCAUCACUGGUGUUCGGGUUGUCAUGCCAAUGGCACUGCCCGGUAGCUAAAUGCGGAAGAGAUAAGUGCUGAAAGCAUCUAAGCACGAAACUUGCCCCGAGAUGAGUUCUCCCUGAGACUUUAAGUCUCCUGAAGGAACGUUAAAGACGAUGACGUUGAUAGGCCGGGUGUGUAAGCGCAGCGAUGCGUUGAGCUAACCGGUACUAAUGAACCGUGAGGCUUAACCUUACAACGCCGAAG